GUUGCUGCUGGGAGUGAGUCCUACCUCCUGGAUGAUGUGGGCUCCUCUGGGAUGUUUCAGGUCCACAGAAAUACUCUGAAAUCAGACGAGGCUCGUUAUUAACACUGUGAGAACAACAUGAGGCUGAACCUGAGUUUACUGACAGGAUGCUAAAGAAUCAGACCUUCUAAAGAACACACACUUACCUUCUUGUUUCUGUUGAUGCUGAGGAAAUAGGCGCUCUCUGUGCCGACAAACGGAGGAGCCCAGGCUCUGGUGUCAUCACCUGCACCUGUUCACCACAGUCCUUUACUCACACUCACACUCACAAGAAAGUGGAGCACAGUGACGCCACAGACGCCGACUCACCUGGUCUCUCUACUUUAAUCACCUCAGCUCCCAGAUCUCCCAGGAUCAUGGAGGCGAAGGGACCGGCCAGGACUCUGCAGACAGUUUCAAAGGUCUCACAUAAAAACUUUAUAUGUGAUCAUGAAAGCUGAAUAUUACCGCAGCAUUCAGACUCUGACCUCGUCAUGUCCAACACUCUGACGCCAUCCAGUGGUCGAAGGUUUCCUCCUGCAGACGGUGAAGCAGAGAAACAGCCGGGUGAGGAUGUUUAUUUGUGGAUUAGCAGUGACAGCUGGAGGCUAACAUUAGCCAGCUAGCUUUAGCUCCAGCACCUGUUACCUGUCUGUGUGUGUGACAGCCACCGUCCUCCGACCGGACACCUCACCGGAUGAUUCCUCUGCGGCUGUGAAGUGAAACCAACCGGACAGAGAGCCGAAAAACGGCUUUUCAACAGUCUGAAAGAAGCAGACAUCUUCCCACCUGUUAGCGUCAAGCUACACACCGGAACAACACUUCCGGGCCUCGCUUUCAAAGUAAAGGUCCGGAUGAAGGAAAGAAGUCUUCUUCUUGAUAAUUGGCAGCCAGACGGAUCAUUAUCUUAUCACCACCUUCUGUAUCCUUGUUACAUUUAUAUUCUUGUGCUGAGUCCAGUUUGUUGUUGUAUUUAAUAAAGCUUUCAUUAAUUUUUCCUGA